rnacentral:rRNA from 1 species
CCUACGGGAGGCAGCAGUAAGGAAUAUUGGACAAUGGUCGCAAGACUGAUCCAGCCAUGCCGCGUGCAGGAUGACUGCCCUAUGGGUUGUAAACUGCUUUUGUACGGGAAUAAACCCCUCUACGUGUAGAGGGCUGAAUGUACCGUAAGAAUAAGGGUCGGCUAACUUCGUGCCAGCAGCCGCGGUAAGACGAAGGACCCAAGCGUUAUCCGGAUUCAUUGGGUUUAAAGGGUGCGUAGGCGGAUUGAUAAGUCAGUGGUGAAAGCCUGUUGCUUAACAACAGAACUGCCAUUGAUACUGUUGAUCUUGAAUAUGUUUGAUGUGGGCGGAAUAUGACAUGUAGCGGUGAAAUGCUUAGAUAUGUCAUAGAACACCGAUUGCGAAGGCAGCUCACAAAGCCAUUAUUGACGCUGAGGCACGAAAGCGUGGGGAUCAAACAGGAUUAGAUACCCUGGUAGUCCACGCUGUAAACUUUGAUCNCUCNCUGUGNGAUACACAGUCAGCGCGUAGACGAAGACGUUAGU